GACACUGACAUCUCCGACAUCCUGAGUCCCUCUAACAAAGUGUGGAAGAAGGCACGUACACCUGUGGCUCAGCCAGAACCUUCCCAGGAGACAACAGCACCCCUAGUGGAGGAGGAGGAGAGUUCAGGAGAGGAGCUGGAGACGGUGGAGGUGACUCUGGGAACUCUGGACCUCCGGGAGCAUGAGAUCUACCCUGCCAGGAGGAAGAAGAGGAGACGCAGGACAGAGGACAGAGGUCUAAGUAACAGGGAAGCUGUGGGGUCUCCUGCUGCUGUUGAAGACAGUAACCAGGAGAGAGGAGGAGAGAAAAACCAGGGGAGGAGGAAACCCAAGGGGAAGACGACGAUACAACAUGAAGAGGAGGAGCCUGAUGAGUCCUGGGACUAUGGCCUGAGGGAUGCUCUCUACACCGCCUGUAAGACUGGAGACCUGGACACCCUCAUCAGACUGUUACCAGUGAGGAGGGGAGAGCAGGGUGGACAGAGAGAGGACCAGGGUGGACAGAGAGAGGACCAGGGUGGACAGAGAGAGGACCAGGGUGGAC